UAAAGUAAUAGCAAACUUUUAUUCAGUUCGUAUGAAUAUUAUGUUUUUGUAUAAUUAAUAUAAAAAUGUACAUAGUUUGUUUUGUAUUUAAAUACAAACAAUUUGUUACGCAGAAUAUUACUCCGAUCAUGAAAGAUCGUACUUAAAUGGCGCAAUGUGGCUAACUUCAGUAGACUCUCGCCAGUUAGACCUGCCCCACUAUCAUACGCUUUUAAUUCCGUCGGCCAUAUACACGGUGGGCAAAAUUAUAUGAAUGAGAAGAAGAGGUGAUGUAGAGCAAGGAUUACAUAGCAAAAGAUCACUGGAUAUACAUGUCUAGCAUAACGAAAACCACAAACGCACAUGCGUUUGUUCUUGGUUACGAAGUGUACUCAAUCCAAUCAGCAUUAAGGUGCGCAUGAUGAACAAAUAUCUUGUCGAGUGUCGAGUAUGAUCUCGCACUGCGCGAGUAAUAUCGCGUAUGUUGUCAAAAAAUAACGAGCCAUACACAGUUAACAUGCGUAGAAGAUUAACCAAUGAGAAAAGAGAAUUUGACGCGUAUCAUGCGUACAAGCAUACAUACCCGAACGACAGUUAAAGCGGUUGGAAGUUACGGGUAAGAGCGCAAUACACGUCAAGCUCUUAUUUUCAUUCGUGGAGGAGGCUCGCCGCGAACAAACGGGUGACCGAGUCCGAAGGAUUUGCAAAGAAAAUCCAGGAUAUAGGUCACCAACAACUGGUUAAAUAUGAUACGCGCUGAAAAUGGGGGUGUUGUAUAUUUGGAACAGUUAAAAAAUUCGGUAGAGAGUGACGCGACAGAGAAGGCAACGUCAAGAAAGUGCGAGGGGCAGCUGUCUUCACUGAAGGCAAACAGCUGUUCGUCCUACAAAGGUGCAAAUCGUACGACAGAAAUGGCGCAAGAAGACAAUAAUCCGUGCUGGGAUAACCUGCCAAGCGUUAUCCUGCAGGAAAUAUUCUCAUAUUUACCACACAACUGCCGGUUAAGAGCCUCCCAGGUUUGUAGAAAUUGGAGGUAUUCUUUGUUUCAUCCCCGUUUUUGGAAAAAAAUUACGUUUGCUCUGAAAGACGAAGACAGUAUAUCAUGGUCCCGAGUUUUAGGAGAAAGUUUUGGACUUAGUGUGCGUGAAGUUACAAUUCGCUGUGAUACCCCAAAUCAUUCUGUGGAGGAAACAUUAGCUCUUUUAAAGAAACUGAGUUGUAACAGGCAACUACGUAAAUUGUUUUUGGAGUCCAGCAGUAGCUGUUUUGAAUAUGAUGAUGAUGAUGAAGACAGUCAAGGAUACACCACUCCACUGAUAAAAUCUCUUGUGAAAAUUAUUGAAACAUCUAAUCAUUUAGAAGCUUUAAGUUUAGGAUGCAUAGAAGAAUUAACAGCAUCUGCUGGUAUACUUUUGGAACCUCUUCGUCUACAUCAUGCUAAACACUUGACAACUCUUAGUUUAGCAUCCGUUAGAGAUGAUCCUGAUGAUUUUGACUUUGAGCAAUUCGAUUAUGAAUUUGUUUUUAAUUCCUUUAUCAGAUUAUCUAUUUUAACACUAGAUUAUGAGUUUGUAAGUGAUUAUUUACUGCAAGCAUUAGACAAUGGCAUCAUGGAAAGACUCGUAAUUCAUGUACAUGGUUGGAAUGACAAUUAUUUAGGAACAACAGACAGUGCUUGGCAAAAUUUUAUUCAAAAAAACCCAAAAUGUGAGCUGCGAUUAAACCUUAUACACUCUUACAAUGGCAUUGUAAUGUUAGAUACUGAUAUACUCCGACCUUCCAUGCCUCUUACACACUUAAAAGUUUUAUUUUGUGAAAACAUUAAUAUCAGAGCAUUACAUCGACUGUCUAGCUGGUACUCGCUUACUUUAAAGUCUUUGACAUGGAUUGAUUCUAUGGAUCAUAGACAAGACCCAUCAAAUGAAUUGGCACCUUUGAAUGAACAAAAUGAACGAGAUAGCCCCCCUGAUCCGUUAGUAUUAGUUGCAUGGAAGUGUACCAAACUUGUGGAAAUUGUAUUCAUAGGCCAUAAAUAUUAUCAAGAAAACUUACUAGCUAUUGCACGUCUACGAGGAUCCUCCCUUAAAUCGUUAAUGUUUGCACAAAGAUACAUCGUAUCUGAUAGCGAAUCUUGGCAUAUGGGUGAAACCAUUACACAAGAAAUAGAAGAAAUAAUGGGACCUCGGUGGAAACUGUUAAGCGAUGCAGAUUUACCUGCAGUCGUGAAUGAUCCUUUUGGAGGCGAUAGUAGAGAAGUUAUCAUGCCAUUGGUCCUUUGUGACCAAAAGUAAUUUUCAACGCGUGAAAUGGAAAAAAAUUACUCCCAAACAUCGUACACUGACAUCACCAACAAUUUCUGGGCGAGCUACAUUCUCAGAAGUAAAGUUAUAAAAGUUAAAUCUUUUAUUUUUCUAUAAUGUUUGUUUUUAUGGGAACUACGAAUGGAACGUUGAACAGCGAAUGCGUAUAAGUUCGUAGUUCAAAGUCAGUAAAACUAACGGAUACAAUAUUGCCUGUCAGAAUGGAGAAUGAAGUGAUUUGCGUCGGUUUCUUUAACGAGAAACCUUCGAUAAUGGAAUCACGUUUCAUUGCUAACAGUGGUGGUCUCAAAAUCAGAACAAGAGCAAUAUACUUGCAAUGAUCGUUCCUCUCGCCGACGAAUAUUAGGAAAGAAAAAUAAAUACGAAUGUAACGGGGUUUAAUAGAUAUAAAAAAAUGGAGCAUUAUUGGACGUUCAAGGUCUUAGCAAACAGACCUUUAGUGUGUCCGUGGCAUACUUGUGAUGUCACGGAGAAAGUGAAAUUCAAAUACACGAAGGCAGUACGCUACCAAUAAGAGGUGAUCAUCGUACCAAGCAAAGAAAAGGAAGAACGAGACUAAUAGAAAACACGAAGAGAAAGGAUCGAUCUCGCACCAUCAUCCACUGGCAAGCGUAACGAAAUUCCAAACGUAUGUAAGUAAAAAAAAAAAAUCAUGUUAACAAAUAUUUUUCCAAUUCUAUGGAAAAUUUAGAUCAAGCGAGCGCCAAGAGCAUGCAGUGUAAGAAAGAGUAACUAAAAUGGUAGACUUCGCGAAAGAGUUUGUGCAGCAGAUAUACAAAGAUGCACUGCAAUAAGAAGUCGAACAGCGAUCCGAGGUUAUUUUUAAUACCAAAACCAAUCGGACGCUCUUGUACAAAUGUUAAAUGAAUGUGUGCCGAGAAGAGUGCGGUUGAUCUGGUGGUACAUGAAACAAAGUUAAAACAUACAGAAUAUGUAGAUCGUAAUAGAGGGAAAAAUGAUAUCAUUGAAUGACCCGUUAAAAAACCUGUAUAACUUCCAGAAAGAAGUACCGUCUCUUCACCGUGCUCUUAGCGACCGCUGAAAACGAACACAAUUAUAGUUAUCUAUAAAAGAAAAAUCAGAUGAAUUUAGCUGCUAAUCGUGUAUGUGUAUAAUGUAUGUAUAUCUGUAUUAUCUGUCGAACUUUAAAUGUUAAAUAUUCGGAUGCCACAUGCAUCUAUUUCUGUCGUGCGAUUAAUGACGAUUUUGAACGUUUGAAAAAAAAAAAUAAGGUGAUCCGUCACAACACAAAGAAAAAAUACCAAAAGAACAACCGUGUAUACAGUUUGUUAUUCCGAGAGGUUAUUUACUUUUUUUCGAGCCCUUGUAUAAUUAUUAUUACAUCGUCACGUAUCGUACUUGUAGUCACGUAUAUACCAUUGUUUUUUAUAUGUGGUUCUGUACAUACAUUCAUGCGUUUAAAAUUAUUGGACACGCGCAAAAAUCGCGGAGUUGCGCCCGAAUUUAAAGAAAGAAAAGAAAGAAAAAUGAAGAGCGAAAUAAUAUCUAGCCGUGUUUAUUUAAAGAAGGGUGAAAAGAGAGGUUCGAGUAAAGGGCUAGGCACAAGAUAACGAGAAAACUAUUUCUUUAAACGAUUUAAGCUGUUAUACAAGAUGAACGGGCCUUAACAUGUACCUGAGUCGCGGUAAGAAUAAAUUUACCGAAAAAAAUCUGAUACGCGACAGCCACCAUAAGAAAAUAAUCGUAGACACCUUAACGGACAUUUUUAGGCGACUCGCUGGAACACCUGGCUGUGUCACUCGCCAAAAAAUGCCCGACGAUUAAGGUAUGCUCUCGUGCCCUUUCAUUUCGUAUUCCGUGCGCGUGUAUUUCUCUUUUUUUACGUCAACAAAUUCGCGAUGAAAACGGAACCGACGAUUCGUUAUUUAGAAGCUCGCAAACUUGUUUGUCAACUAUUAAAUGUUGCGCGAACGGGUUAGAUUUUAUUUCUUCUUCUUCUUUUUAAUUUUGCUCGUGUUUUUUUUGUAAUCGAACGAAGUCCCGCAUAAACAGUAUACUCGCGGGCACGGUGCCCGGCGUAUGAGUCUAAAGAGAGAGCGAGAGAGAGAGCGCGAGCGAGCGAGCGAGAGAGAGAGAGUGAAAGAACAUAAUGUGACGUUGCGAAAUGAUAACGUAUGAGAGAGAACGGAAUUAACGAAAGAUGAUGAUACGCGUUCGGAUAUAAGAACGAUGAUAUCCAAAUGAGUAAUAGAAGCAGAAACAAAACUUAAAAAAAGUAAGAAAAAAAGUAUCAAACGAUACGUAGUACCAUCUCUGCGAAUUCACCGUGUACAAAGUCUUUAGAAAGAAGAAUGGCAUUCGUGCAGCUGCUUAACCAAACGGGCACAACCCAAUUACACAUUAAUAUCGAUAUAAACGCGUUGCGACAAACCAAGCAUAAGACUGAACCUGCCGGGAAAGGUAUUACACCAGUUAGGUGAGCUGCACGUGUUGCCAACGUCCGACCUCAUAUUCAUAAAGCAACAGAGGACGAUCCCGACUAAACGGAAAGCAUCGUUCGCGAAUCAUCGAAACGAAAUUAAUCACAUCGAUGUUGCGUGUACGAUCGCGUGCAGAUUAGGCUUCUUUCGAUUAGCGGAAAGUGCAGGAAAAAGGGUAUCGCAUUCGAGAUAUCUAUAACGCAGUCUCGCUAUAUGGCCUCGAACGGGACUAGAACACAGCGUCUUGCUAUCAAUGGUGUAGCUCGCGAAUUCCAAAUUUCUCAGUUAGAAAAUUGAUAGAUUGCCAAAUUUGAAAACUUAUAAAUUACUAGGUCCCCUUCUGCGCUUACUUUUAGUCAGAGAUAGCCUACUUUGCACACUCGUGUACUCGUAAAAUAAUGUAUAAUGGUUGUCUCCAAGAUCGUUGCUCGUAUAACGGUUUCCUUUAACUGCACGUACGAUUUAGCUUUCCGUCUUAGCUCGCGGCUCUCGUCGAUUCGCCCCUGAUGAUUUGAGCCACGCGAACACACCGAAUUUAUGAAUAUGCGGCGUCGUUAAAAAAAAAACGAAGGGAUGGUGCGUCAGCUAGUGUUUAGAUCGGACAAACGCCCCGUGAAAAAAAGCUCACUCGACCGGGUGGUUCUCGUAGCCGAUAAAAUAUGUACUAACCUUUAAGCAGCCUGCCAAGAAUCAAAAUACUGUAUAAUAUCAAACGAACGCUAGCCAGUACAGAAUGCUAAGAUCUAUUUUUUAAGAAGCGAAUGUAUAUUUUUGUACUAAGGCAGGCCUUAGUUGUGACUCGUGUGUAUUCUUGCGCGUUAAAACAAAUGGCACAAGACGUGAGAUCUGUGAUCGUGUAAUAUCGUGUCGGCUUAGCGAGAAAACAAAAUAACAUACGUAUAGGCAAAGUCGUUGAGCAAGAGAGAGAUAAUAAGUAGCACCAAGUGGCGGGAGAAAUAGCAAGGAAAUAAAGCGACGUGUGUCCCUGCUUUUGUUAUAUCGAGUGGGCUAUAGGUAAAUAAUAAGGGGCGACGAUAAAUCGAGAAGAAAACAUCUGUGAUAAAAAAAAAUAUAAAACCUUAGAAAGGGUGCUCGGGAAAAAGGUGGCGAUAGAGAGACAGAGAUCAAGCGUGCGUUUUAAAGGGGGGGAAAGAAGAAUCUAACAAAACGAAGAGCGAAAGAGAGAAAUAUAGGGGGAAGACGGAAUCCUGCGUGUAUUAGGAAAACGAUACGCGAGACAUUGCAAUUCCUAACGAAAAAAGAAGAUGUUUAGAAAUGCUUUUAGAAGAUCUAUUGCGCGAAAAAUGUUCGUCGUGUGUAUAUGACUAAUCGACAGAUGGUGACUGUCUUUCGACGAGAUAGCCCGGUCUAACUAAUGCAGUGGGUACCAAUCGUCUUGACCAUCCUUGUUCAAGUAAUCGUGUGGGUUUCGAUAAACGCUUUUCUAACAACGGAUCCGAACGAAGAAAAUCUUUCUUUAUUCCAACGCUUUGUUAAAGUACGUGUUCUUUCGGACGAUUAGAUUCUUAACCCUUUCGCUGCUACGACCCUUUCGUUGCCACGAGCAAUUACAGUAAAAGGGCUACCGUUGAUAAGUUAUUGAUACGCCAAAAACAUUUCUGGUUGCAAAUGAAUUUUAUUAAAAAUAUGAUUUUAUAUACGAUCGGAGUUAAAACGGUUUUCGAGCAGAGGCGGCCGUAGCGAAAAGGUUAAACUCGAACGCUAUUUAAAUAAAUCUGACAUUCCACUCGAAACUGCGAGAACUGAAGGUUACGCGCGUAAUCUUACCGUCGUUACGUAGCGCCAUGAUAGAAUUAAUUUAAUAUACCUUGAAAAACUUCGAACAAGGAGUUGUCUCUGUCGUGUUAGGACAAAAGAACGAAUACAGUAUACGCGAAAGAGGUGAUUCAAAGGAAUUCGAUCGAUCCUUGUUCGAAGUUGCGUAAAUCGUGCGUUACAAUAGGCCACGUGACUCGCCUUUAUCGUGCCCACGUGAUCUCAGGAUAAGUCAGGACGUCGUACGCCACCAGUAUAGUAUUAUAAGUUCCUAAAGAAAAAAAAAGAAACAAGAUAUUUUACAUGGGUUUUAAGUGAUCGAUAGAACGAACCCGGCAAUUACGAAUAAAACGCAUAUUUCACACGAACAGAGCAUUCGGUUCGAUGUUACGUACAAAACAAGUUCGUUCGUUGAUUCGUUCUGUUUAUGGGAUUGUUAAAAAAAACGCUUUUCAGACACUGCACCAGCAACGUUUCUUUUUUUUUAUAUAUGCAUAUACAUAUAUCUAUCUAUAUCUUAUAUCUAUACAAAUAUUAAUUUACAAGUACGCGUGUAUAAUUCAUUCCAAUCGAAAGGGGCAGGCGUGUUAGACGUGUGGCGGUAAAUAAACGCGAAUUGAAAACGAUGGUUCCGCGUUGAGGGAAUAUUAAGGAGAUUUAACCUUUUUUUUACGAGAAUGCCAAGAAAUAUAGCGUCGCGAAAAGAUAAUCGUGAACGGAAAGCUGUAGGCUCGAUCCAACGUGAAACGCGGGUAAUUUUUGUGUUAAAGGCUAGUUUACGUUAGUCGGUCAGACAUUGAACGCUUCUGUCAGAAUACAUUCAGUUUCGAAUAGGCAUUCAACGAUGUACAAUCAAAACUAGACAGACAAAGAUUCCAGUUACGCCAAUGGUUUUUAACGAACCACUCCCCCCUUUACGUACAACAAUCUGUGUCUGAACGGAAUUGUUACGUGUCUGAAUGGACAAUAUAAACUGACCUUAACACGUUUUCGAUUACUAUACUACCGCCGUGUGAGUGUGUAUCGACUACGUUUCGAGGUUCGUCUGAUACAAAAAAAUCGAUAUUCCGAGAAUCGCGCACUCCUCGAUCGAUACCGUAAAACAAUAUUAAUAAAGAUAUUACCAAAACCGCGUUUAGAUAUGUAUAUAAGUUUAUUAAGGGCUGAGAUAGCAAACGCGAGCAAGCUAUUUUUUAUCGUGGUCGAAUCGCGAGAUAAGACGGGACUAAAUCCGUCGUGUAAUUUCUUCCAUUACGAACAGAGGGGGAAAAUAAGAUUUUCGAUGUUAAGAGAGAAUUUAAGAGAAAAACAACGUGACCGGGCCCAAAAGAAAAACGAUGAACGUCUUCUAGUAGCGUUGUAUUCUCGUUUAUUAGCAUGGGUUUAACGGAACGUAAAAGUCCUAGCUCUAGAGACGAGCGCACGUGUGUAUGCAUGCAAUGCAGACAGAGAUCUCAAGAUUUUCAAAUCACGAUCCUGUGUGUAUUCGUUCAAAUCAAGAUUAUCGAACUGAAUCAUGUUGAUAAAAAAGAAAACGGCCGCUCAAACGACGCGAAAACAACAGUCGCCGAUUUGUUUUCGAUUCGAACUGAGUUUCUUCGUUUUUUCCCGUGAGACGCCGAGAAUCGUUCUAAACUAUAAACGCGUUACGCCAGCGGUACAACACUUACGCGAGUGAAUCACGACUGUCGUUCCACCGCGCUAAAAAUACUGAGAAUGCACGGGAGAUUCCUUGCCGAUGGGGUAAAACGUUAUCUCGAGCUUUACUACCUCGCGUAACUCCGAUGAAGAUCUUUUAUUUUCUUUCUUCGGUCGAGUAUCGAAUCAUCGUUUCGUAUCUUUACAAUAAUAAGAAUAGCUCGAUGCUCGACGUUCCGAUUCAAAGAACGGGGGAAUAAAAAGAGAGACCGUUUCGCGUUGACCAGAACUGCGUACUUUUCAACGCAAAACAGUGCUCAAUCGGGUUUCGUUCACGCGAAGCAGGCUUACACCGGUGUCUCAGUGUUCCACGUUUAAAAAAACGUCUUAGUUUUAUCGUACUACGAACUAUAGCGUUUAGUUUAUAUCUUUGCUAAUUGUCGUGUCGACCUGCAUUUUAACGACUCGUUUUAAGGGUGACGCGUCGUUUCAUCAACGGCAUGAUGCGUGAACGCACGUGUCCGCUCGAUUUGUCGCGGUUAACGCUUUGAUCGGUGCAGUGAUCUAACUCGGUGAUGGACAAACGUGCACGCGAGGGCGCGGUGCACGGACGCGCAAGUGCUUUGAUGAGUCAAUUUCACAAAUUUCAAACUUUCCAUAUUCUCAAAUUUAUCGAAUUCCAAAAUUUUUACAUUCGAGACCCGUGAAUCUUCGACUCAUCACUGCACGCACCCGCAUGAUCUGCCCACCGCUGAUCCAACACAGUGCAAUAGGGUGCGCAGAAGCACUGCGCACCAGUUAACCUGUUGACCGGCCGAUUAUUCGAUCGAGAGAAAAGUCAUUUUCUUUCCGUAACAAAGAUUAACUCGUCUUGUCCGUAACAGAUACAAAUAGCCGACGAUGCAAUCGAAAGUAAAGAUCUCUCGACAAAACACUGAAAGUAUACAUCAGUCAAAUAGUAAGUCAACUCGUACCGGUUAAUAGGUUGAUAAUACCUUUUGGUUACUAACGCAAGGAUUAAAGUGUUAAAUCUUAACUUGCUCUAGCGUGUUUAUGUAAAGCAAACAUGGAAAAGCAACGUUAUCGUCAACUAAUGAACAAAACGUGGCCUCUGUUAUGCACACACUGUUUUAAUCGUAAACAGGACGUGUUUUCGACCUGUUUGGUGCAACUCGAGGUUUCUACCGAAAGGAUAAGAGCGUAACUUUGUGAACGUUGCCUAAACAUUAGGUUGCUGCGUGAGUUUGUAGGAAUGUUACGAAAAUUUUUAGUAUAUUUUAGGCGGAACAUCAAAUGAGUUACAAGUUGUAUUGGAUUCAUAUUAUAUAUAUCAAGCGAAAAUUUGAUGGUGCCAUACACGAAUAUUGUCGCCAUGCGAUAAUGUAGGACACUUUUGACCCAUAACAGAAUUUUUAUUAAAUACGUUUUAAAUUUAUCUUCCCGAUAAUACGUUACGUGUUUUAUACGCUUUUAGUAUGUACGUGUUUUCAAUAUAAUAUUUUAACGAAAUGUAAUAUAGAGAUGAAAGCAGUGCGUUAGGAAAUUGUAUAUAUUUUAUAAAUAUGUUUAUGAAACAUAUAUUUUUUAUUUAUACAUAUAUCACAUCGAUUUUAUUUGUCUUUUAGACGUUUUACCGUUUUGUAUCAUAUUGUUAAUCGCGUGGUAUCCAGAUCUUUUUGUAGAAAUGGGUCGAAAGUGACCCGGUUUUCAUGAAGUUUAGAUUUCUAAUUGUACGGAACUUGAGCAGCAACCUAAUAUCUUCGAAAAUGUGUAUAGAAAACGAAAGUAGUCGAACGGGGAGUUCGUUAAAUAGAAAAUAAUUACUCGCGUUGAUUUUUCGAAAAAGCACGUCAACUGGUUUGAUUCGCGCGAACAUUUCAACGAGAAACGAAAGAACGCUUAAAAGGGGGUUACAAAGAACGAGAUCUCGUCUUAAAAAAAGAACCAAUCGAUAUCCUACGUAUCUAUUCAUACUAUUUACUCGUUACUUUCCAAGUUAUUUUACUUGACGAUGACAAACUAACGAACGAGAAUGUGUGUGCGUGCGUGCGUGAACGACGCUUAACGCGCUCGCUGCCGCUCACUCGACAUCGCGUGCUGCCUCGAUAGCGUUAAAACCUCGCGGCACGCGACUCGAGUUCGACAACGAACGUGUUGAAGGGACGUUUUUAUCGGUUCCUCUAAAGUCGUUCCUCGGAUUAAUUUACCAUCGGCGGCAGGGUCAAUACUGGCCCAGACGGUGCUUCGAUUUAAAUUAAACAAUUGAAAUUUUUAAGCGAAAAUAUUCAUAUAUUGGAAAAAUAAUAUUUAAAGGUGUAAUGAAAUAUUUAGAAUACGAAAGAGAAUGAAAUAUUAAAGAUGAAUUUAAUCAAGUGUCUGAGUUUGACCGCGGUAUCGAUGACCCGCUGUCUGAAGUUUAAUUCGGUUAAUCGAUUAUAGAAACGACUUAAAUACUUGAAAGUAUCUGAACAGUUAAAUCUAAAGGAAAGAAGCGAAAAAAUGCGUCGUGUAACGAGCUAAUUAUUUCGUAAGACGUAUCGAACCGGAGUUCCAUCGUGUUCUUCGAUGCGUGAACAGGUGUUUCUUGGCGUCCUACACUUUACAAUUUUCUUCGCUACGAAAUAAAUAUCAGUAUUAAAAUUAUUC
rnacentral:misc_RNA from 1 species